rnacentral:misc_RNA from 1 species
UCCCCGUUACCGGGGCAGUCUGGUUAGAAAAAUACAACUAACCAUAGGGGUUGCGCUCGUUGAUGGACUUAACCAAACAUCUCACGACACGAGCUGACGACGGCCAUGCAACACCUGUCACUAGGUUCCCGAAGGCACUCUCGGCUUUCACCAAAAUUCCUAGGAUGUCAAACCUUGGUAAGGUUCUUCGCUUACCAUCGAAUUAAACAACACGCUCCACCGCUUGUGCGGGUCCCCGUCAAUUCCUUUGAGUUUUAGCCUUGCGGCCGUACUCCCCAGGCGGGGCGCUUAAUGCGUUAGCUGCGGCACAGAGGACCGGAGAGGUCCCCCACACCUAGCGCCCCGACAGCUAGUCAUCAUCGUUUACGGCGUGGACUAC